UACCAGCACCCCGAGUGGUCGGGACGAUUAUUGGGCCUAAAGCAUCCGUAGCCGGUUCUGCAAGUCUUCCGUUAAAUCCACCUGCUCAACAGAUGGGCUGCGGAGGAUACUACAGGGCUAGGAGGCGGGAGAGGCAAGCGGUACUCAGUGGGUAGGGGUAAAAUCCGUUGAUCCAUUGAAGACCACCAGUGGCGAAGGCGGCUUGCCAGAACGCGCUCGACGGUGAGGGAUGAAAGCUGGGGGAGCAAACCGG
rnacentral:rRNA from 1 species